GUUGCUGUGGUGGAGUGGUUAUCACAUUAGUCUUACACACUAAAGGUCACCGGUUCGAUUCUAGGCAGCAACA